rnacentral:lncRNA from 10 species
GACAGGGUUUCGCCAUGUUAGCCAGGAUGGUCUCGAUCUCCUUGACCUUGUGAUCCGCCCGCCUCGGCCUCCCAGUGCUGGGAUUACAGGCGUGAGCCACCGCGCCUGGCCUGCUAACCUUAUUUUAUAUACAAGGAACCAGGCAGAGAUGUGAGACAACUUGCAAGCAGGGGCUUCCAGUCCAAGUACCCACUAUAGGGUGACAGGCAUAGCAUUAAUACUGUGGGUAGGCAGGAAACCAUUUAGCUCAGCUCCAGCAGCUGCCUAAUGUGACCUUGAUCAAGUCACUAACUACUGUGGGUUCAUUUCCUCAUCAAUAAGAUGAGGAACUACUACUAAACCUGAGUUGUAAGGUGUAAGUAAUGUAUAUGGAUCCCUCUUUGCACAGUUCCUGGCAGUAGGAGGUGUUCAAUAGUUUCCUUCCAGGACCCAGCACUGCCACAAAUAUGUCAUGAAAAAGAGGGAUUUAAGAAUUCAAUUUAGG